CUGGGUUAGUUUUUGAAUUCUGAGGUCUAACUUGAUUGUGCUGUAGUCUGAGAGAUUGGUUAUCAUGAUUUCAGUUCUUCUGCAUUUGCUGAGGAGUAUUUUAUUUCCAAUUAUGUGAUUAUUUUAGAGUAUGUGCAAUGUGGUGAUGGAAAGAAAGUAUCUUCUAUUAUUUUUGGAUAGAG